GUAUUUAAAUUGCUGGUCCUGCCACACUGAAGAGUUUUGCUACAAGGCCAUCAGUGAGAUUGGUGACCUUGCUGUCCAUCCCUGGACCUACUCUACCAUUCCCUGACGUCCAGCCAUCAGCUGGAGAGAACCACCAGACAAGGAAGAGAAGUCAUGUGGCAUCAGAGGUAACCCAGAUGUGACUCCAGCAAUCAGCAGGGAUUAGAGAAGAAAGUCUCUCAUGUGAAGCUCAGAAGACAGUAAAAAAUGGAUAAGCAAAUAUAAAAGAAAAAAUUCCAGGAGUCAAGGAAAACUAUGAAAAAGUGUGAAGGAUAACCUGAGAUUAGAAGCCAGCAAUCCCAAUGCCAUUUGGGAGAGAAUGAAACAGGAGGAGCUAGUGUCCACAAGGAAUCUAGGUUAACUGACCAGAACAGGGUGGCAGCCUCUGGCUUUCCAUUAUGUGCAGCCGUGGCAGGGCCCAGAAGAGAUCACUCAAAUUUAAUGGUGCAUAGCUUAAACUGACACACCACAUUCAGGAACAAUCUAUUCCUGCUUUCUCUGCAGAGUGCUAAUAACUGCAACAAACACCUGAUUUAAACUGUGUGUAAAGUUAAAUAUUAAAUUACCAAAAUGUUUUCUUUA